rnacentral:rRNA from 1 species
UACGUAGGGACCAAGCGUUGUUCGGAUUUACUGGGCGUAAAGGGCGCGUAGGCGGCAAUUCAAGUCAUCUGUGAAAUCCCCGGGCUUAACCUGGGAACUGCGUUUGAAACUACAAGGCUAGAGUGUGGCAGAGGGGGGUGGAAUUCCACGUGUAGCAGUGAAAUGCGUAGAGAUGUGGAGGAACACCGAUGGCGAAGGCAGCCCCCUGGGUUAACACUGACGCUCAGGCACGAAAGCGUGGGGAGCAAACAGG